CGCUAGUUGUUGCUCGCCUCAGGUCGCAACUGCGUAGAGGCUUCGCGCCUUUCUCGGAUACUGAGGAGGCUUGAACCUGUGGGUGGGAGGUGAAGCGGGACGGUCCCGGCGGGUCCAAAUGCAGUCGGGAAGGGGAGGACGGGAAGUCUAGCCGGCUUGGACCUGCCCCACUCUGUUACCUGCCAGAUGACGCUGAGGAAACUGCUUUUCUUCUCGAGGCCUCCGUUGCCUCGUCUGUGCCCGGGCGGUGGUGCUUAUCCGGCGGGGUCGCAGGGAGGUCUUGUGGCGGCGCGUGUUGGGUCUGCGUUUUCCUUCUGGGGAGCUUGGGCAGCAUGAGCCCAGGGCUGUGGACAGCCCGGUGCUCACGGGUUUGUGGCUCCACAGACUUCCCAAGAAAGACAACCCGAGGCGAGGCUUGUGGCUGGCCAACUGCCAGCGGCUGGACCCCAGCGGCCAGGGCCUGUGGGACCCGGCAUCCGAGUACAUCUACUUCUGCUCCAAACACUUUGAGGAGAACUGCUUUGAGCUGGUGGGAAUCAGGUGGGCCUCCCUGCCGGCCGACGCUGGGGUAGGAUGUGGGGCUUCCGGCGGACUGGGACAGCUGCGGGUCCUGGAAGUCCCUUGAGCAGCCUGCGUCCAAGGGGGCUGUUUCCUCUUCCCAGCUCUGCACAGUGAAACCUACCCCCAGGAUCACUGUGCCUGUGACACAAGGGGAAAACAGGAGCCUUUCCAGAGAGUAUUUUUCAGAGCUCCAGUCUUGCCAGCAAGUCCACAAAUCAAAGAAUUCUUUCUGGCUGGUCAGCCCAGCUCGGCUUGUGCAGGCUUUCCACACACCUGGACUUUGAGGAGUCCUGCAGGGAAGCGAUUGGUGUAGCUCUAACUUGGUAUUCCCCAGACGUAUUGUUUGCACGAUGCCUUCCAGCCUCCCACGGCGUUGGUGCUGGGGGCAGAUUGGCCUGGGGAGGCAGCACUUGUUCUCCAGCUCAUCUGGGUUGCUUUUCCCCACAGCGGGUAUCACAGGCUAAAGGAGGGGGCAGUCCCCACCAUAUUUGAGUCUUUCUCCAAGUUGCGCCGGACAACCAAGACCAAAGGACACAGUUAUUCACCUGGCCCCCCUGAAGUCAGCCGGCUCAGACGAUGCAGGAAGCGCUGCUCCGAGGGCCGAGGGCCCACAACUCCAUUUUCUCCACCUCCACCUGCUGAUGUCACCUGCUUUCCUGUAGAAGAGGCCUCAGCACCUGCCACUUUGCCGGCCUCCCCAGCUGGGAGGCUGGAGCCUGGCCUUAGCAGCCCCUUUUCAGACCUACUGGGCCCCCUGGGUGCCCAGGCAGAUGAAGCAGGCUGCAGUGCCCAGCCUUCACCAGAGCGGCAGCCCUCCCCUCUCGAACCACGGCCAGUCUCCCCCUCAGCCUAUAUGCUGCGCCUGCCCCCACCCGCCGGAGCCUACAUCCAGAAUGAACACAGCUACCAGGUGGGCAGCGCCUUACUCUGGAAGCGGCGAGCUGAGGCGGCCCUUGAUGCCCUUGACAAGGCCCAGCGCCAGCUGCAGGCCUGCAAGCGGCGGGAGCAGCGGCUGCGGCUGAGACUGACCAAGCUGCAGCAGGAGCGGGCACGGGAGAAGCGGGCACAGGCAGAUGCCCGCCAGACUCUGAAGGAGCAUGUGCAGGACUUUGCCAUGCAGCUGAGCAGCAGCAUGGCCUGAGGGGCUGCUGGACUGACCGAGGGGCUACCCAGCAAGACUGCAGCCUCUUCCUCCCUCAGAUCCCACCAGACCCACCAGGUGCCAUAAUAAAGCGGAUUCUAGACGGA
rnacentral:sRNA from 1 species